rnacentral:tRNA from 1 species
GCUGUGUUAGUAUAAAGUAAUAUAUGUGAUUUCCAAUCAUGGGAUCCUUUAGGGACGUAGUACCA